rnacentral:rRNA from 1 species
AGAGUUUGAUCCUGGCUCAGAUUGAACGCUGGCGGCAUGCCUUACACAUGCAAGUCGAACGGCAGCGCGGGAGCAAUCCUGGCGGCGAGUGGCGAACGGGUGAGUAAUACAUCGGAACGUGUCCAGUAGUGGGGGAUAGCCCGGCGAAAGCCGGAUUAAUACCGCAUACGAUCUUAGGAUGAAAGCGGGGGAUCGCAAGACCUCGCGCUAUUGGGGCGGCCGAUGGCAGAUUAGCUAGUUGGUGGGGUAAAGGCCUACCAAGGCGACGAUCUGUAGCUGGUCUGAGAGGACGACCAGCCACACUGGGACUGAGACACGGCCCAGACUCCUACGGGAGGCAGCAGUGGGGAAUUUUGGACAAUGGGCGCAAGCCUGAUCCAGCAAUGCCGCGUGUGUGAAGAAGGCCUUCGGGUUGUAAAGCACUUUUGUCCGGAAAGAAAACCUUUGGGCUAAUACCUCGAGGGGAUGACGGUACCGGAAGAAUAAGCACCGGCUAACUACGUGCCAGCAGCCGCGGUAAUACGUAGGGUGCGAGCGUUAAUCGGAAUUACUGGGCGUAAAGCGUGCGCAGGCGGUUCGCUAAGACCGAUGUGAAAUCCCCGGGCUUAACCUGGGAACUGCAUUGGUGACUGGCGGGCUAGAGUGUGGCAGAGGGGGGUAGAAUUCCACGUAGCAGUGAAAUGCGUAGAGAUGUGGAGGAAUACCGAUGGCGAAGGCAGCCCCCUGGGCCAACACUGACGCUCAUGCACGAAAGCGUGGGGAGCAAACAGGAUUAGAUACCCUUGUAGUCC